CGGUGUAGCUCAGUGGUAGAGCGCUUCCUUGGUAAGGAAGAGGUCACGAGUUCAAUUCUCGUCAUUG
rnacentral:tRNA from 2 species